UACAGAGGAUGCAAGCGUUAUCCGGAAUGAUUGGGCGUAAAGCGUCUGUAGGUGGCUUUUUAAGUCCGCCGUCAAAUCCCAGGGCUCAACUCUGGACAGGCGGUGGAAACUACCAAGCUGGAGUACGGUAGGGGCAGAGGGAAUUCCCGGUGUAGAGGUGAAAUUCGUAGAUAUCGGGAGGAACACCAGUGGCGAAGGCGGCGAUCUGGGAAGAUACUGACGCUGAGGUGCGAAAGCGUGGGGAGCAAACAGG
rnacentral:rRNA from 1 species